GGCUCGAUCCCAGGACCCUGGGACCAGGACCUGAGCUGAAGGCAGAUGCCGACUGAACCACCCAGGUGCCCCUAUUCAAAUGCAUUUGACAGCUGCUUUGGAGGUUGGCUGUGUCCAGGGCCUCAGAUGCUGGGUGUGAGAUUUUGGACCGAUGUCCAGGGGGCACCCCGAAAGUGCAGGGGCUGCUUCCUCUCCAAAUUCCGUUAACUCCCAGAGCUCUGGAGAGCACACGCCAAGUUCAUUCAUCUAAUCUGUACUGUUGAUCAUAUCCGCUAUCCAUUGAUACGGAACAAACGACCCCAACACUUGACAAGCAAAACCCAACCCUUGGAUCCUGACUCCCCCUGGUCACAUGACCCCAGGCCUUGGUAGUGCUGCAUUCACCCCAACAAUGAUUGGUCCAGGAGCAGAAAGUCAGCCUAUGAGGUCCUUCCUCAGAGCUUCUGUUUGAAGGUGAAGAAGGGACUUCGCCUUUGGGGUCAUGGAAUAGAAGGAUGGAUUGCGUAUGCUGUUGGCCCCUUUCCCACCAUGUGGAGAGAGCCAACCACGGCUGCAGAGAAGUUGGCUCACAGAUAGAGAAGCAAAAGCUGCAGACACUCUGUGGCCGUGUCCUAGGAGCUGGGGACACAGCAGUGAACAAACGCUUGUCCUCAAUGAGCUUCCAUUCCAACGAGAAACGAGUCAACCAGAGCAGCAAAGCACGUGGUACGGAGGGCAAGCAAAGCCUGAGCAGGGUGGAAGAGAGCGAGUGUGCAGGCUGGGCUCCACCACCACGGUGAGCACCCUGCCUUCGUGCUCUAGGUGGAGGAGCCUGUGGAGGAUUUUGAGCUACAGACGGACUCGUCUGUGCUACAGCGUCCUUUUGGCCAGACUGGGGCAGGGGAGGGCAGGGCUUGCAACAGCCCAAACAGGAAGGUGCGCUUGGGCGCGUGGGACAGGCUGAGGCUUCCCAGAGGCCCAGGGCAGCCUGUGGUGGCUUCAUGUUGAUCUUGGUGGCCGGCUGAUCACGGGGUCAGCAGCACACGACUGCCCUCAACCCGAUGAAGGCUGAGCACCCCGCCAGGCUCCACCAGGUGCAGGUGUAAGAGGACCGGUUUCAGGCACUGGUCCUUUUCACCAUAAUUUACAGGUUGAUUUGACAGGGGACAAGGUGGCUGCCUCUACAAAGAAUUUGAGCCAGGGCUCACUUAAGCCCCCUCCCCCCACAGAUCACUGGCUACACACACACACCAGCAGAUCGAGGUGAGGCGCCAGGACCUCCCUGUGGUCCACUUAGCCAUUUUCCCCAGAGGAUCUGAGGAUCUGUUUCUGGAAUUCAGGGCCAGCCCUGGUGGGAGGAGGUGUCAGAGCUGAUCAGGUUAAGUCGGAGAUUAUCUGGAGAGGGGAGGGUAUUUCGACUUUAUACUGGCCUCAAAUCGGAGCAUGCGAUAUGGGUUUGGCCACAUCUCUGUCCCUGCUGUUUUAUGUUUAUUUUGUUUGACAGUUUAUUUGUGACUUGGGCCCUAGGCAAUCCUACAUGAGGUUACAGUUUCAUAAACAGAAUAAACAAAAUGAAACAGAGCCCAUAGACUAUGUUUACAAUCCUUCUCUGGGCAGGAGGGAGGGACUAAAGCACUUGUCUGGGAGGUCUGGCGUACGCAGGCACGAGAAGCCGGCCUCCCUGGAUGCUGUGGGUGCUGUGCGCAGGGUCGCUGGAAGGUGCCUCGCAAUAUUCAACACUGAAACCCGGGAGCAUUCCUUUAUUUCACUCAGAUGACAUCUAUCCUUUUAACUUCUGAAUACUUUUUAAAGUUGCAAAGCUGAGUUUCAGUGACACAAUUUACUAAUUUCUAUAAUCCCGAGCAUCACUGCUGUCCCCAGUACUGUGUCUUGUGUUUUGAAAGGUAUGUGUGCCCAUAAAGCACGGCCUCUGCCCAGAGGUGGUGAAGCAGAGAGCGUGAGCUCCAGGAAAGAGCUGAGGGACUGACAUCCGGGUUCCUGUGGCUUGGGCCAGGCUAUCCCCCACAGCAAACCCAUCUCCAAAGGUCUCUGCUUCUCCCCACCAGGUGGAUGCGUAAAUGGCGCGCAGGACAGUUCCAGGGGCCGUCCGUGAGCUCCCAAGCUGCUCAGGCCGGCUGCCUCUGUGUCUGGGCCACUGCUUUCCACCGUUUCCCCACACUCUGCACAUUCCUGCUGAACGGGACCACUUCUUUCUCCCUUGUUAAGUUGUACACCUUCCAACAGUCUAGAGACAUCUAACUCAAUCUUCCAGACCCCCGGGCCCUGUAUCGCCUUCUUGAGAACACUUACCUUUGUCAGUAGCCUGCGGCCAUGCCAUUUCUCCAAACUGCCGGACCUUUGCUGACCCCCACAAAGGGUUUUGGGGGGCCCCCAGGGUUCCUGGACCACACUUGGUGAAACUAUGGUCUCAAUCAUGGCAAUUCUAAUGUCAUUAAAAUGAUUUUUAUCAAAGAUAUGUGACUUUGGGGCACCUGGGUGGCUCACUCAGUUAAGUGUCCAACUCUUGAUAUUGGCUCAGGUCAUGAUCCUGGUUUGGGGAUUGAGCCCCCAGGGCGGGUAGGGCUCCCAGCUCAGCGGGGAGUCUGCUUCAGGAUUCUCUUUCCCUCUGUCCCUCCCCCUGCUGGUGCACUC